UCCUACGGGGGGCAGCAGUGGGGAAUAUUGCACAAUGGGGGAAACCCUGAUGCAGCGACGCCGCGUGAGUGAAGAAGUAUUUCGGUAUGUAAAGCUCUGUCAGCAGGGAAGAAAAUGACGGUACCUGACCAAGAAGCCCCGGCUAACUACGUGCCAGCAGCCGCGGUAAUACGUAGGGGGCAAGCGUUAUCCGGAUUUACUGGGUGUAAAGGGAGCGUAGACGGCGAUGCAAGCCAGAUGUGAAAGCCCGGGGCUCAACCCCGGGACUGCAUUUGGAACUGGAUAGCUAGAGUGUCGGAGAGGCG
rnacentral:rRNA from 1 species